GCGCUGGUCAGCCCCCGUGCGCAUAGCCUUUUGGAAGGAGAGGAAUAAGAGGCACAACCCUAGCCCUUCCUCGCCGCCAUCUAUCGCUCCCCCGUUCAUCCUCUCUAGCCGCCGCCGCCGCCACCGCCACCCCAAUCUCUCCUCCUGACGCACCCUCUCCUCGCCACCGUCGUCGCAAGUGCCCACGCUGGUGGAUUAGGUGGUUAGAGCGGGAUGUGACAACGCAUCUGGCCGGAGGAGAACGUGGGAGCGGCAUCUCCUAGCGACGGCGCUGGGGCAGGCGAUGCUUCAAGGCGACGGGCUGAGGCGGCGGUGCAGGGAUCCGCUCGGUCUGCUGUUGCUGCUGCGGGCGGACGGGGGAGCGGGUCGAGGUGGCAGCUCCGUCGGUGAUGCCUAGGAACCUCUCCACCAACUUCUUUCAGGGGGAGAUCCUGAAUGGCAGCAUCCUCGGACCUUCGAAAGCAGCUGUAAGCUUAACUCUGACCUAAUCUCAUUCCACUUUAUGUGUCCUUUAUGAUGUCAGAACAUGUUAUAAAUAUAAUGAGUGGUAUCUAUUAACUUGUACCACAAGUCCACAACUGUACUGGAUCAGACUGCUCUGGUGCAUUUCAAAUGAUGCAGGCAUGUCGAAAAUCUGGAGCUUUGCAGGCUGCCCAUCCAGAAGGGUUGCCGUGGAACCCUCGGGUUCUCUGCAGUGCUGCCGCAGAGAAUGAUCUUAUGCCAGAUGGAUUGUUCAGAUAUUUGAUGGUUAUACUGAUAGGAACAGUCGGCUUUUUUUGUUUUCUAAAAAGACAGGAACAGUAUCCAGUAUGAUUGACUUCUUAUGUAACAGCUUCAUUGAGGAGCUCAAAGGUGCUGACUGACUGUUCUUAGGCCAAUAGUUUCAAUUGUUGUUAUAGCAUUUCUAUCGUUCUUCACAGGUUGCGAAAUCAAGCGUGCUAGCGGUGGCGAGCGAUUUGAGCGCCAAUGGCUCAACAGCUGAUUAUCAAUCAAGUUUGUGUAUUUUAUUUUCACCGGCAAUGCUGCAUCCUUUUGAGUUGCAAUGGUUGUAUGGUUCAGAUAGACAAUUUAUCAUUUUUCUUUUCUUGACCAAGUUUAUGCUUUUAUUGAUCAACAAUUAUUUUGAACCACAAACCUAUUACUCUUUGGAGUGGCCAAAUGUGUAUCUUUGAAUCUCCAAGUGCCACCGGGGUGCUAUAUAUAUUUCAUUGGUUCAUGGAUCAUUAGGAGGCAAAUAAUGGUAGAAAUAAUUAGCUUGCAAGUUCUGUAUUGCCAGAGGAGUCAUAAUUCGUUUAGGGAAGUAAAACCAUGCAUGAUAAUCAGGGGGAACAUGCAACAUACGUAGCCGAGGGCUUCUCUGUAGGUAAUCAAGGGAUCCUAAUUCAGCAUUGCUCCUCCAUGUUAGAAUUAAUCAUUAUUGAGGAAAUCGUUAACUGGUAGCUGCUCGGUUGGGUGGCGAGUGGAGGAUUAAUAGGCUAAUACAAAUUAAUCGGCCAUUUAAUCAAUUAAUUGGAUGAUUUAUCAGUUUACUUCCGGUGACCUUAUGAGUAGGGAUUAAUCGGCAAGGUAAUUGGUUAAUCGGACAAAUUCUUGAACAGGGGAAUUAAUCAUUGGGAACUUUCGAUAGAGGUGAUUUUGUUUAGAUAAUUAGUUUAGGCAGUAACAUUUUGAUUGAUAAGGCAUAUGUUUAUUUGCUUUUUCAUUCAGGGAUACACUUAAGUAACCAUCACCAUCAGUAAAAAGAAGGCAUACAAAACAUGAAGUUUUUGCCUUUGUUGUAUGCCUCAUUAGCUGUCGCUUAUUUAUUUCAAGUUAUUAGUCGAGCUUCUUUAUGCUUCCCAUUUCUAAAUAAAAAGUUAAUACAAUAUUAUUGAUGUGUGAGGAGGUGAGAGAAGAAGAAAAGAGGGUCAUCAGUUUUGCUUGAUGCUGACAUGGUCAAGCUAGAGCAAGUUGUCUGAAGCAUCAAGAUGGAGGGCCUUCUUUGGGGUUCUUCUGUGUUGCUGAUACAUGUUUUUUUCUGUCUGCAUAAUUACUGUGUUUUGUAAGGUUGAGGGUUUUCCGACCCUUGCAGCCAAGCUCGCGCCAGUUUGAUAUGGCAUCAAGAAGCUGGUAUAGAUGCUAUGUUAUGAUGUCCAUUCUCCAGGAAGUCACACCACCCUAGGACUCUGCCGCAGAGGAACACUGAAUGCCUCCUGUGAGCACGGACUGCAGAGACAACGAGGACCUCAAGCUUUGUUGGCCACUCUGCAUAGCAAAGUUAUGCCUCUCAAGGUGUGAUGGAUCCAAGAGCGUGUAAGGAGCUUUUCCCCGCUACACCGGCAACAGGCACGCGAGCUUUCCGAUCCACGACAACACCGGUCAACAAGUGGAAUGAUUAGAUGCAGGCUACUAGGAACUCAAAGAAGAAGGGCAUUUUGAACAAAGGAACCUUUAUUGAUCUGUAUGUUCUACUUUUAACUUUCUACUGAAAAUAAAGCUAGGCUACUCAUGAUUUUUUUAGGCAUUUCUAACUUGGCAUAGCAGCACGUGUAGGUGCUUACAAAUUGUCACGUGCAUGCCAUGCUAGAGCUCUCUUGCGUAUUGCAGGGAGCUGGCCACAGCUCAUGUUUAAUUUGUUGCCCUUUCAUCAGUAAGGUUUUUAGUGUAUAGUACUUCUUUAGACUACUUAUUUGGUCUUCACUAAUUAAUGAAGGAGCCCAUCCUGGCUCGAAUCUUUAAUUUUCCAAAAGCUAUGAUAAUUAAUGCCAAGUUAUUUCUCUUACUUUUGUCAAAGAAUAAAAUGUAGUACGUAGUUGUCAAAAUGGAUUUUCGUUGUUUCUUGAACUUUUUACUUCUGUAAAGUACUACUAAUUGGGUAAUACCAGACAAAUUUCUGUGGUGGCAUUUGAUUCCAUUAGUGUAAAGAUGGAACUUACAUGAAUUUCCUGAUAUGGUCAUAAAAUCCUGGUGGAGUGCCCCGUUCAGCUUGAGGUAAUAAAAUUCUGGUGAGAGCCCCAUCAAAUAAGAUAAUUUUUUCCAGUGGUUCUCUUGAUAGAACAUUUCGAACAAAUCCAUGAGUAUUUUGUAGCUAUAUACAUACCAUGUCCUUUGUUUCAUAUUAGUUCACGAAUAGGUCAUUGACAUGAAUAAUUAUUCUCCAAAACAACUAUUUAGUGGUGUGCUAAGAUACUAUUGCUAUUUAAGUGUUGUUAAGCAAAUUAUCUCUGACGCCUGUACUUUUCAGCCAUGUGAACGAACAAAUUAAUUAAGAUCAAGCAUUCUCUUGUUUUUUUAAUAUGGAGCUUUUAGCACCUCUUCACCGAUCAAUUGGGAUCAUUUUUUAUAGCAUGCAGUCAAAUCUUUGUUCCUCAUUGUAUAUUUUUUCAUAGUCUAUUAAAAAAACUGGAAAAUUGAAGAACUGGUAAUCCUUUUGGUAUUCUCAUAUUUUUUUGGUCCACAUUAGGAAAUGUAAAUUCAGUUAUGCUUUCAUCUACAAAUUUUGGGAGGUCAAAAUAGUUACCUUGCUCUCUCUCUCUCUCUCUCUCUCUCUCCGUCCCUCCCUCCCUUGGGCUAUGUGUGGAUUUGGAAAGGUUGUAUUGCGCUGAACACUUGUGUGAUCUGAUAAAUACACGUGCUCUGAACUGUAAUCAGUCGAAAUUUUUAGAUCAAUUUUAUAUUUUAUUUGUACUAGCAAGUGAAUUAUCAACCGAAUUAUAUGGUGAUCAGACUGAUCCAGAUACUAAUGAAAUUCAAAUGGUGGCUGCAGGAUAAAAGGAGCAAGGAUCAAUGAUCCCAUACAGGUUAAUGAUGAUGAAGACCAACACUUUGUAUCACUGAUUAUUUAGAGAGCCGCAAACGUGCCAGGAAACCCAAAGGUCCAACUAGGAAUGCAAAAAAUAUAUAGACUAAGAGGACCGUUACACAAGGGUCAUGCAUACAUACAGUACAGGGAACACUUGGAACUCCAAUGCAAGUAUCCAAGUGAAUUUGACAUCUCUCCAGAUGAGAUCUGUCUUCUUAAGCGACUGGUUCAUUCGAGGGUACCUGCCAUUAAGGUCUAUGUCUGUAAGAUGAACAACACAUGUAGUACAGGAUAAAGAAUGUACUUCUCUGCUCCAUACACUAGGAUCUUUCUCAAGCUUAACCCAAUCGUUGAGAACAUGUGAAUCAUAACCCCAUGUGGAUGUUUACAGGAACAACUUUGUUUAAUAUAAGGUUAAGAUAAAAGAGUGGCUAUCAACACAAACUGGACGCAAUUCGUCAAAGCAGCCAGAAUCAAGAAAAAGGGAUGUAUUCGUCUGUCUUUGAAGAGACUCGGGUCGUCAGCUGUCACUCACCGUCCAUAACCUUUCAUAAGGUGAGCUCGCUGAUUGCCAAGCGACGGUGACGGUGAUUUUUCAACAGGUCAUAUGACAUUGCGUCGAUCACUCAGGAAAAAGAUCCCAUCCAGCACACAUCAAGGCAUGCCCCAUACGUCUUAUAUUGUUGUGUACAUAGUUUGUUCCUAUGCUUUACAUAAAAAGCAUUGUAAAUAAGUUAUCAUGUAAUGCGAUCUUGCGUUCCUUUUGGUAUGCUAUCAUGAACCAAUGCAUUUUUGGCUUCCAUCAUGUAAACCUAUCAAGCACAAAAGGUGUCCUAUCGUGUAUCCUGCUUUAAGUUGUUUUAAUAUGGGCGGAACUUGAAUUGUUGCUUGCUGUGUUAUGAUUUGAGUGUGUUACUACACUUUUCAUCUGGAUUUCUAUACCCCUUUGGUCAACGGCCCAUCAUAACUGAGACACAUCAUAGUUGUCUAAAUAUUCUUGGGUCAGCUCAUAGUUGUAUUAGGCUAUGUUAUAUUUUAUAUGCAAUUCUCCAGUGGCUUUAUUACCGAGUUGGAUAAGCUGCACCCGGUAGGGGUGCAGCAAGCUGCACUUAUGUGCCUCUCAUCCUAUUAUACUAUAGCAAAUGGGGUUUACAGUGUAGUGCUUAUUGUUUCAUUACAUUUGAUUAUCCUUCAAUUACCACAUCAUACUCGGUCCUCAUAGGCUUCUCGCACCAUGUGUGUAAUAGGUCAUAUACCAUAAAAUUCAAUGAUAUGGAAGGCAUUUAUGCUUUCACUAACAACAUUCACCAAACACACCCAUCAUGAAGAUUUGCUUAAACAAUUAAAUCAUGUUUGAUAUUGAUAGGACAUGUGACCCUACCGUCUUCAUGUCGUUGUCUUUCCUGCUGGCAGAAGAUACAAGAAUCAGCCAAAGGUUAUGAGACAAGAGCUAUAUAUCUAUGAGCAUAUUUGCUAAUAUAACUUGCUUUAUAAAACCAAUGUAAGCUAUCAAGUGAUACCCAUGGUUUGAAUGCUCGCUUGCUCUCGGUUUUUGCGCCAUUGGCGCAACGGGUCAUCUAGUUGAACAUAUAAACCUUCAAGAAGUCAUAGGCAGAACCAAGGCCUCCACGUCGCCCCUAAUUCGCUAUAAACAGUAUUGCUGCCACCGCGUGUAAAUUUUGUGCCCCGCCGAGGGCAUUUUGGUCUUUUUACGUGCAGGGUAUAAAUUGCCAAUCCCGUGGAGAAACCCUCGCCGCCGCCUCCCGUCCCACUCGCCUCCCCCUCCUCGUCGCCCUCCUCUCUCUCUCUCUCUCGCUAACCCCUCUCUUUCCCCAUCGCCCUACCCACGCCGGCCGGUUCCGGCAAGCUCCGCCCGCCGCACGCCCCCGAGCUCCCCAAGAUCUGUGCCACUGCGCCGCCGCCUCCUCCCCUCCACUUCUCUCCUCCUCUGCCCCCCACGCAUGGUCGCCGUCACUCGUCUCUGUAGGAGAGAGAGGAUGAGAGGAAGAGAGAGAAGGAAGGAGAGGAGGGAGAAAGAGAGAGGAAAGAGGAGAUGGAGGUGUGUGGGCUGAUGGGAGAAGGUCUCACGCCGGCGUCGGCCUACGUCUGCGAGGUCGGGCGAGAUCUGGCGGUUGGCGGCGGCUCGAUCCGCUCCUGGAUCGGGAGCUGCGAGGAGGCUGGGGCUCUUGGGCGUGCCAUGCGCUGGGGGCUGGAGGAGGCUGGUUUGGUGGUUGCUCAGGUUUGGAGCAGCAAGGAUAUGGGCUGCAUUUUCUUGGAGCAGCAAGCAAUGGAGCCAAGGUGAAUAAGCAACAUAUACUCGAUCGCACUGCUCAAACCAUACAUGCUUGGAAAAAAUUAAUGUGUUCUUAAGAUCUCUAUAGGAUUAAAUGUAUUUGUUUGCAGUACUUUCAUUCUCUGAAAAGAAUGGCGAAUCCAAGAUUUAGCUCCAAAUUAUUGCAUUUUGUUUCAAAAUAGGAUGAUCUUUCCUUGCUGAAUAGACAACAUAUAGGAUAAGAACGUGUAUGAUGCUGAUUUUGGUGGUUUGGACAUGGAUUUGAGGGUGGAGAAUGGCCACAUAAAGGAGGCAUUCAGGACUGUAAGUAUGAAUUAAAUACAUACUACAUAUCUGAUGAAAUGCAGGCACAAGGUGUUCUCGUUAUAGUUGGGUUCCUCAAUCUUUCUAAUGUUUUGUUUUGAUGUUGCAUCGUUUUUUUAUUGCAAGCAUUGAUAUAUGCGCUCAUGCUAGGCAAUAUAAGGUAUUGUCCCAUCAUUUUUUUAUUGUAGGCACUAAAAAAUAAAAGAAAUAAGAGACCACAACAUGUGUUUAACGUACGUUCUUCUCGGUCCUUCUGUGGCUUUAUUUGUCACUUAGGUUGCUGCUUACUAUGAAAAUUAUGUUAACUCACCUGCUUUAUUUCCUUUCAUCAGCAUCUAUUUUGCUGCUUACAUUUUCUGCCUUUUUUCUGCAACGUCCAGGAUCUCCUAGGUUGGUGGAUCUGCGACGUUCCGGUUCCUGCUGUUGGUCAGCCGUUUCUUUGGUCGAGAGAUGGGUUAACUUGUUGCCGGCGGUGUCGUCCCACUGGUAGGGUUCCAGCAAGAUGCUCAAGAAAUUUCUCAUGAAAGUGGAUGAGUAACGUCAUGGCCAGGAUCUUCAAAGGGCCAAUGUUGCAUAGCCUUUACCCACUCUGCACUGCCGUAACAUCUCAAGUAGCGACUACUCCCGGUACAUCUUGUGUUGAUCACGAGCAACACCAAGAGAGAUGUCUGGACUAUUUGCAUGCAGCUUACCUCCAGCAGGCCUUCUCAAGCUGAUGAAAUUGGUUCCUUCCAUUUGUUAGCUGGACAGCUAUAGCUGCACAAUGCAAGGGUGAGACUACCAACCGGUGUAGGACAAGGUAUGCACACGGCGUUGCGGGAAGAGGUAGUCAAAGGAGAUAGAUAUGUAGACGGCACAAUGUAGGCCAAGCGCUAGGGAUGAGGAUAUGGCGUGGCGUGAAGAGCUCGCGGUGAGGAUUGCUGUGUCCAACCUGCCGCCAAGAGGAAAUAGUUUGUGUGGCGCUCGUAAAUAGAGAGUAUUCUGGUCGAAAGCUGAAAGAUUAGUGAGACAGACUAAAUUCUGGACAUGUUCCAUGUGAGAGAAAUAGCAUGUUGAUUUCAUCUUGAAAAUAAUCAUAGCUAAGGGAUGAGGUUCGUAACUGAGGGUCAGAGGAAGAAGUUGCGAGGCUUGAAACUCUCCCUGUGAAGGGCUCAGGGACAGUAGCGAGGACAAUGCCUCUUUAGUUGUAAUUGUGAUACUCCUGAUAUGCAAGUAAACAUUCCUGUGAUACUCCUUAUGCUAAAAUGUUGGUUGUUAGUACAGAGGUGGUGACAUUAUUUGGUUCUCUGGUAUUGAUUUCAUGAUUUAUGGUUAAUACAUGAUGUAAUACAAUCCACAUUGUAUUAUAUUUCCAGUUACAUCUCCUA